rnacentral:rRNA from 1 species
GACGAACGCUGGCGGCGUGCUUAACACAUGCAAGUCGAGCGGUAAGGCCCUUUCGGGGUACGACGAGCGGCGAACGGGUAGGAGUAACAACGUGGGUGGACCUCGCCCUCCAGCUCUGGGAGUAAGCCCGGGAAACCGUAGGGUCGUAAUAACUGGAGUAUGACUCCAUGACGCAUGUUGUGGGGUGGAAAGCCUUGUGCGGCGUGGGAGUGGCCCGGCCGGCCUAUCAGCUUGUUGGUGGGGUGAUGGCCUACCAAGGCGACGACGGGUAGCCGGCCUGAGAGGGC